rnacentral:tRNA from 1 species
GGUUUGUGGCUCAGUGGUAGAGCGCUCCUCUGGCACGUGCGAGGCCCUGGGUUCGAUCCUCAGCACCA